rnacentral:rRNA from 1 species
AAUGAACGCUGGCGGCAGGCCUAACACAUGCAAGUCGAACGAGUGGCGGACGGGUGAGUAAUGUCUGGGAACCUGCCUGAUGGAGGGGGAUAACUACUGGAAACGGUAGCUACUACCGCAUACCAUCGGAUGUGCCCACAGUGGAUUAGCUAGUAGGUGGGGUAACGGCUCACCUAGGCGACGAUCCCUAGCUGGUCUGAGAGGAUGAACAGCCACACUGGAACUGAGACACGGUCCAGACUCCUACGGGAGGCAGCCGUGGGGAAUAUUGCACAAUGGGCGCAAGCCUGAUGCAGCCAUGCCGCUUGUAUGAAUAAGGCCUUCGGGUUGUAAAGUACUUUCAGCGGGGAGGCGUUACCCGCAGAAGAAGCACCGGCUAACUCCGUGCCAGCAGCCGCGGUAAUAC